UAUUCUCCUCUACCUCAUAGAUCAAAACCUAGUGAUGGGGAGACAUCCUCUUCCUACCCCAAUCAUGAGCAUCAAUUUCCACUUGUGUAUGGCCAUUUUCCUCCUGGGGAUAGGUUCUAUGGAUGGUGGGGUCACCCAGACCCCCAAACGCUUAGUCAAAGAGAAGGAACAGGAAGCUACCCUGAAUUGUCAACAAAAUUUGAAUCAUGAUUAUAUGUACUGGUAUCGACAAGAUGACAAGGAAGGACUGCAGCUCAUGUUUUAUUUCAAUAAUAAUGAGCUUUUUGGGAACUUCACUAACAACGAUCAUUUCAAACCUAAUCGUGUGGACAAAACCCUCUUGAAUCUUCAAAUUGGAUCUCUUGAGUCCAAAGACACAGCCAUCUACUUUUGUGCUAGCAGUUAUAGCACAGUGCUCCAAAAUUCCACUAUCUCUGUACACAAACCACCCCCAGACACAACACAGGAAGCAGCUGGAGGUGAGAGUGAGGACAGGACCAUGGUCAGGGGAGAAGGGCCAACAGUCAUUCUGUGA